rnacentral:rRNA from 1 species
ACGUAGGUGGCAAGCGUUGUCCGGAAUUAUUGGGCGUAAAGCGCGCGCAGGUGGUUAUAUAAGUCUGAUUUUAAAGUUCGGGGCUCAACCCCGUGAUGGAUUGGAAACUGUAUGACUUGAGUACAGUAGAGGUAAGCGGAAUUCCCAGUGUGGCGGUGAAAUGCGUAGAUAUUGGGGGGACACCCAGGGGGGAGGCGGCUUUCCUGGCUGUAACUGACACUGAGGCGCGAAAGCUAGGGGAGCAAACGG